GACAAGAGCUAGUUAUAAAAGGGGUUAAGCGCCAACUAAAGACUAUCAAUUUCUUCGUACCGUUCCCAGUUGCUGUUGCUUCGUUAUGGCGAAUCUGAAGCUUUAUUCCAAUUGGAUGAGUUCUUGUUCUUUCCGUGUGAGAAUCGCUCUCAAUUUGAAAGGGUUGAAGUACGAGUAUGUACCGGUGAACCUGCUCAAGGGAGAGCAACGCAGUCCAGAGUUUUUGAAGCUGAAUCCAAUUGGAUACGUGCCAGUACUAGUGGAUGGGGACAUGGUGUUGUCUGACUCUCUUGCCAUCUUAUUGUACUUGGAUGAGAAGUACCCUCAGCAUCCCCUGUUGCCAAGUGAUCUGAGAAGAAAAGCCAUUAAUUUGCAGGUGACAAACACUAUUUCCUCGGGUAUACAGCCUCUUUGGAAUCUCGGUGUAAUGGACUGCAUCAAACAAAAAGUUGGGCAAGAAGAGAUUGUUCCAUGGGUUCAAUGUCACGUUCGAAAAGGCUUUGCCGCACUUGAAGAGCUGUUGAAAGACCAUGCUGGGAGAUAUGCAACUGGAGACGAAGUUUUUCUGGUAGAUUUAUUCUUAGCACCCCAGCUCCAUUCUACUAUUAAAAUGUUCAACCUAGACAUGACAGAGUUCCGUCUUCUGUCUAGGCUGAAUGAGGCUUACAGCCAGCUACCAGCAUUUCAAGAUGCUUUGCCAGAAAAGCAACCAGAUGCUCCUUCCUCAAGCACUGCUUAGACAAAUGGUUUUGGAAAACUCAUAUUCUCAUGCACAAUACUUCUCUCAAACCUUGCACAAAAGGAAAGACUGAAAGGGGGCUCCUAGCAUCUAAAGAGUUAGGUUGUAGAAAUGGUCAAACAGAGUGUCGACAACUUCCAUAACGAGUUCAUCAUGUAGUUCCGCCAAAGCUAACGACUGUUACAGGUUGAAGCUGUUUGGUUGAUAUGGAAAUGUUUGAUAGAAGCUUCGAGAUCAAAUUCGGGGUUUCUAAGGAAAUCAGUUUGGUGUCAAACACAUGAAUAUGAGACCGAGAAUUGUCCCUCCUUUGAAGGAGAACAUUGCAGGGAAUCUCGUUGGCUAUGCGGCAAAGAUAAGGAAAAUGAAGACAGAAAUAUUGACAUAAAGGAUUGGUAGAUAAGUUGAGAAAAGAGAUGAAACAGGUUCUGGAAAAUUAAUUAAUUAUGGUAAUAGACUUUGGAGAGGUUCAAAGAACACUUGAUGAGCAUGGGAAGCUGAUAAAAAAUGAUGAGAUUGACAACUAUUACUGCACCAGUUGGUGUAGGUUUCCAUUAUACAAAUAGAAUUUCGGGUGGGGAAAGCCCAUUUGGGUUAGUAUCACUACAAGAAUAAUGUGUCAAAUUUUAGGGACGUUAUGUUGUUGCAAAUAUUAAAAUUUUGUACAACGUCAUGUCGU